rnacentral:rRNA from 1 species
UACGUAGGGUGCGAGCGUUAAUCGGAAUUACUGGGCGUAAAGGGUGCGCAGGCGGUCCUGCAAGUCAGGCGUGAAAUCCCCGGGCUUAACCUGGGAAUGGCACUUGAAACUACGGGACUGGAGUAUGGCAGAGGGAGGUGGAAUUCCACGUGUAGCGGUGAAAUGCGUAGAGAUGUGGAGGAACACCGAUGGCGAAGGCAGCCUUCUGGGCCAACACUGACGCUCAUGCACGAAAGCGUGGGGAGCAAACAGG